rnacentral:sRNA from 1 species
UGUAUGAUAUAGGCAUUUAACACAGAAAC